rnacentral:misc_RNA from 1 species
GAAAUGCGAUAAGUAAUGUGAAUUGCAGAAUUCAGUGAAUCAUCGAAUCUUUGAACGCACAUUGCGCCCGCCAGUAUUCUGGCGGGCAUGCCUGUUCGAGCGUCAUUUCAACCAUCAAGCCCCGCGCUUGUGUUGGGGACCUGCGGCUGCCGCAGGCCCUGAAAACCAGUGGCGGGCUCGCUGUCACACCGGGCGUAGUAGAUUUUAUCUCGCUCAGGGCGUGCUGCGGGUUCCGGCCGUUAAAAAGCCUUUUUUACCCAAGGUUGACCUCGAAUCAGGUAGGAAUACCCGCUGAACUUAAGC